rnacentral:rRNA from 1 species
CAGUCGCCGCGGUAAUACGAAGGGUGCAAGCGUUAAUCGGAAUUACUGGGCGUAAAGCGUGCGUAGGCGGUUUGUUAAGUCUGCUGUGGAAUCCCCGGGCUCAACCUGGGAAUGGCAGUGGAUACUGGCAAGCUAGAGUGUGUCAGAGGAUGGUGGAAUUCCCGGUGUAGCGGUGAAAUGCGUAGAGAUCGGGAGGAACAUCAGUGGCGAAGGCGGCCAUCUGGGACAACACUGACGCUGAGGCACGAAAGCGUGGGGAGCAAACAGGAUUAGAUACCCCCGUAGUCCCUGUCUCUUAUAA